rnacentral:rRNA from 1 species
AGAACGAACGCUGGCGGCAUGCCUAACACAUGCAAGUCGAACGAGACCUUCGGGUCUAGUGGCGCACGGGUGCGUAACGCGUGGGAAUCUGCCCUUAGGUACGGAAUAACAGUGAGAAAUUACUGCUAAUACCGUAUGAUGUCUUCGGACCAAAGAUUUAUCGCCUAGGGAUGAGCCCGCGUUGGAUUAGCUAGUUGGUGGGGUAAAGGCCUACCAAGGCGACGAUCCAUAGCUGGUCUGAGAGGAUGAUCAGCCACACUGGGACUGAGACACGGCCCAGACUCCUACGGGAGGCAGCAGUGGGGAAUAUUGGACAAUGGGCGAAAGCCUGAUCCAGCAAUGCCGCGUGAGUGAAGAAGGCCUUAGGGUUGUAAAGCUCUUUUUACCCGGGAAGAUAAUGACUGUACCGGGAGAAUAAGCCCCGGCUAACUCCGUGCCAGCAGCCGC